GUGGCCCCACAUCCUGAGUCUUCACCAAAAUGGGUGUCAUCAAAAACCAGCCAGCCCUCCACCUCGGUCCCUCUAGCUCGUCCUCUGAGAACGUCUGAGGAACCUUAUACGGAGACAGAGUUGAACUCCCGGGGAAAGGAAGAUGAUGAGACUAAAUUUGAAGUCAAGAGUGAAGAAAUCUUUGAAAGCCAUCAUGAAAGGGGGAACCCUGAGCUGGAGCAGCAGGCCAGGCUCGGAGACCUUUCCCCCCGCAGGUAAGACUGCACAUCCGUGGGUGCAGGGGGCGAGGGGGUGCGGGGCAUGGGUGGCGAGGAUCCUCUCUUUUACACCUCAGCACCUGUCUUUCCCAGAUAAGAAUCAUAAUAUUUAUCCUCUAUACUAACCUUCAUUUAUGUACCUGAGAACAAAAUUUGUGGAUCCCACAAAAGCAACAAGCAAAAGAGCUUAAAGUGACAUCUUA
rnacentral:lncRNA from 1 species